rfam:Thermoactinomyces sp. Gus2-1 c5, whole genome shotgun sequence.
UUCUUAUCCAGAGUGGUGGAGGGACUGGCCCGAUGAAACCCGGCAACCUCGCUAGUUAUUAGCGGAUGGUGCCAAUUCCUGCAGGAUUUGAUUCCUGAGAGAUGAGAA